UAUGCGAUACUUGGUGUGAAUUGCAGAAUCCCGUGAACCAUCGAGUCUUNGAACGCAAGUUGCGCCCGAAGCCUUCGGGCCGAGGGCACGCCUGCCUGGGCGUCACGC
rnacentral:rRNA from 1 species